rnacentral:lncRNA from 1 species
ACGAUUUAUACAUUUAUGUAAGAGUUUCUCUCUAAGACUCAAUGCCAAAACUAUAAAGUCGUUACAAACGAAAGUUCUCACUCGACUAUCGGGCUAGCGGUGUUUAUUUGCUUGAUUGAUAUCCGAUACGGUCAAGAUCCUCGAAUGUUCUACGCCAUCUCAUCUACUAUGACGUAAAAUAAAUAAACUUGUAACUGAAGGAAGUGUAUAGACGUCUUCUCACGAAUUCAAAUCAGUAUAGUCUUGCGACACGAACAGAGUGCAUCGAACGUGAAAGUCACAAAGAGCAUACUUGGCAGUCUUUUAUUAUUAUUUUGUAAUAUUUUAUAUCGUAUUACGUGUUAUAAGUGCCAUUUUCAAAAUAGUGAACAAGACUAAAGUUAGAUAGUGAGAAUGAGGAAGAAGUAAGCGAAAUUGCGAUGGACGGAACUGUUUGGCACGAAGUAAAAA